rnacentral:rRNA from 1 species
UACGUAGGGGGCAAGCGUUGUCCGGAAUUCUUGGGCGUAAAGAGCUCGUAGGCGGUUUGUCGCGUCUGCUGUGAAAACCUAAGGCUCAACCUUGGGCUUGCAGUGGGUACGGGCAGACUAGAGUGCGGUAGGGGUGACUGGAAUUCCUGGUGUAGCGGUGGAAUGCGCAGAUAUCAGGAGGAACACCGAUGGCGAAGGCAGGUCACUGGGCCGCAACUGACGCUGAGGAGCGAAAGCAUGGGGAGCGAACAGG